AAUCAAUAAAAUCAUGUUUACACUUGAUCAACUUCAUUGAAGGAGGUUGUGGAUGCUGCAUUGAUCAAAGCCAUUGAAGCAGUGCCGGAUUUGAAGGCUUAUUUGGGUGCAGCGAGCAUACUUAUGUAGUAUCAAAUAAGUAUAUUUUCAUACUUAAGUUGUACGGAGUAUCAAUC